UGAUAAAGGGGAAAGCAGUCGCAUACUUUCUCUCUCCUCAUCUCAUCAGCGCUCGUCUCGUAUCUCUCUCUCCCCUUCUUCCUGUCUUCUCCAGCGUCCGAUCCAACCAAUCGAUCUGCAGCCAGCAGUCCCAUUCCCCGCCUUUUGUUUAUUAAUCCUCUCUCCCCCUCCUUCGCGCGCUAAUCCCUUCUUCAGGGUUUGGAUUUUGGGACACCGGGGAUGGCCGAGGUCCCGGGAAGCCCAGGCGGAGGGAGCCACGAGAGCGGCGAGCACAGCCCUCGCUCCAACGUCCGGGAGCAGGACAGGUACCUCCCCAUCGCCAACAUCAGCCGUAUCAUGAAGAAGGCCCUCCCCGCCAACGGCAAGAUCGCCAAGGACGCCAAGGAGACCGUCCAGGAGUGUGUCUCGGAGUUCAUCAGCUUCAUCACCAGCGAGGCAAGCGAUAAGUGCCAGAGAGAGAAGAGGAAGACGAUCAACGGGGAUGACUUGCUGUGGGCUAUGGCAACCUUAGGCUUUGAGGAUUAUAUCGAACCGCUCAGGAUGUAUCUCGCCAGAUACAGAGAGAUGGAGGGGGACACGAAGGGGUCAGCUAAGAGCGGUGAUGGCUCUGUUAAGAAAGAUGGUAGCGGGGUUCAUCCUGGUCCGAAUGCUCAGUAUGCUGGACGGAGUCUUUACCAUACUGAUGAUUCCUACAUGAAUUAAUGCAGCAGCUUGUUCAUCAGGGUUCCUUCUCUCAGGGAAUCAGUUAUCCAAACUCACAAGGUCAGCAUCUCAUCGUUCUGACUCAUGGAAGAGAGUAGAGGUAGGGCUUCUUCUUUCUUUCAGUUGCAGAACCAACCAGGAGAGACACCGUCUCUGAUGAUGAUGAAGAAGAAGAAGAAGAACAAACAUUGUCCAAUGUGAUGACUGACAAUUUAGGUUUUUCUUUUUCUUGGUUUGGUUUUAUAAUUUGUCUCCAGAGUCAUUUUAUCAUGGCGUGUGUAUAUGUCGGGGCGCUGCCAGGAAAAUAAUCACUCUCUCCACAACGGGAAAAUUCGGUACAUCCUGCGGGAGAAAAAAAAAAAAAACUGCCAUGCUUUGUAUUUGCUAGUCCUUUGGUUGCUUCACAAUGACCCGUCGUUACCUUCCUAAACAUAAGAUUAUUAAUCCUAUUAUAAUUUAUGUGA